rnacentral:rRNA from 1 species
UACGUAGGGGGCAAGCGUUGUCCGGAGUUACUGGGCGUAAAGCGCACGCAGGCGGUCUCUUAAGUUUGGCGUGACAGUUGGUGGCUUAACUGCCAAAGUGCUUCGAAAACUGAGAGACUUGAGGGCUUCAGAGGGACACGGAAUUCCGGGUGGAGUGGUGAAAUGCGUAGAGAUCCGGAGGAACACCAAAGGCGAAGGCAGUGUCCUGGGGAGUACCUGACGCUCAGGUGCGAAAGCCAGGGGAGCGAACGGG